GACGAACGCUGGCGGCGUGCUUAACACAUGCAAGUCGAACGAAGUGGCGAACGGGUGAGUAACGCGUAAUCAACCUGCCCUUCAGUGGGGGACAACAGUUGGAAACGACUGCUACUACCGCAUACUGACGGGGGGGAUUGCGUCUGAUUAGCUAGUUAGAGGGGUAACGGCCCACCAAGGCGAUGAUCAGUAGCCGGGCUGGUGUGGUGAUAGGCCAAAUUGUGAAUGAGACCCGGCCCAGAAUCCUACGGGAGGCAGCAGUGGGGAAUCGUCCGCAAUGGAGGAAAGUCUGACUGAGCAACGGCGCGGGUGUGAUGACGGCCUUCGGGUGGUAAAGCUCUGUUAAUCGGGACGCGGUACCGGAAUAGAAAGCCACGGCUAACUACGUGCCAGCAGCCGCGGUAAUAC
rnacentral:rRNA from 1 species